UACGAGAGGCCCAAACGUUAUUCGGAUUUACUGGGCGUAAAGCGCACGUAGGCGGACUCUUAAGUCGGUGGUGAAAUCCUGGAGCUCAACUCCAGAACUGCCUUCGAUACUGAGAGUCUCGAGUCCGGGAGAGGUGAGUGGAACUGCGAGUGUAGAGGUGAAAUUCGUAGAUAUUCGCAAGAACACCAGUGGCGAAGGCGGCUCACUGGCCCGGUACUGACGCUGAGGUGCGAAAGCGUGGGGAGCAAACAGG
rnacentral:rRNA from 1 species